UGGGGAAUUUUGGACAAUGGGCGCAAGCCUGAUCCAGCCAUGCCGCGUGCGGGAAGAAGGCCUUCGGGUUGUAAACCGCUUUUGUCAGGGAAGAAACGGUCUGGUCUAAUAAACCGGACUAAUGACGGUACCUGAAGAAUAAGCACCGGCUAACUACGUGCCAGCAGCCGCGGUAAUACGUAGGGUGCAAGCGUUAAUCGGAAUUACUGGGCGUAAAGCGUGCGCAGGCGGCUUUGCAAGACAGAUGUGAAAUCCCCGGGCUUAACCUGGGAACUGCAUUUGUGACUGCAAGGCUAGAGUACGGCAGAGGGGGAUGGAAUUCCGCGUGUAGCAGUGAAAUGCGUAGAUAUGCGGAGGAACACCGAUGGCGAAGGCAAUCCCCUGGGCCUGUACUGACGCUCAGGCACGAAAGCGUGGGGAGCAAACAG
rnacentral:rRNA from 1 species